rnacentral:rRNA from 1 species
UACGAAGGGGGCUAGCGUUGUUCGGAAUUACUGGGCGUAAAGCGUGCGUAGGUGGUUUGUUAAGUCUGAUGUGAAAGCCCUGGGCUCAACCUGGGAAUUGCAUUGGAUACUGGCAGGCUAGAGUGCGGUAGAGGGUAGUGGAAUUCCCGGUGUAGCAGUGAAAUGCGUAGAGAUCGGGAGGAACAUCCGUGGCGAAGGCGACUACCUGGACCAGCACUGACACUGAGGCACGAAAGCGUGGGGAGCAAACAGG